UACGAAAGGUGCAAGCGUUACUCGGAAUCACUGGGCGUAAAGCGCACGUAGGCGGACUCGUAGGUCAAUUGUGAAAUACCUGGGCUCAACCCGGGAACUGCAGUUGAAACCGCUUGUCUUGAAUACCUGAGAGGGUGGGGAAUACCUGGUGGAGAAGUGAAAUUCGUAGAGAUCAGGUGGAACACCGGAGGCGAAGGCGCCUGCCUGGCAGUGUAUUGACGCUGAGGUGCGAAAGUGCGGGGAGCAAACAGG
rnacentral:rRNA from 1 species